rnacentral:rRNA from 1 species
CCUACGGGUGGCAGCAGUGGGGAAUAUUGCACAAUGGGCGCAAGCCUGAUGCAGCCAUGCCGCGUGUGUGAAGAAGGCCUUCGGGUUGUAAAGCACUUUCAGCGGGGAGGAAGGCGGUGAGGUUAAUAACCUCAUCGAUUGACGUUACCCGCAGAAGAAGCACCGCCUAACUCCGUGCCAGCAGCCGCGGUAAUACGGAGGGUGCAAGCGUUAAUCGGAAUUACUGGGCGUAAAGCGCACGCAGGCGGUCUGUCAAGUCGGAUGUGAAAUCCCCGGGCUCAACCUGGGAACUGCAUUCGAAACUGGCAGGCUAGAGUCUUGUAGAGGGGGGUAGAAUUCCAGGUGUAGCGGUGAAAUGCGUAGAGAUCUGGAGGAAUACCGGUGGCGAAGGCGGCCCCCUGGACAAAGACUGACGCUCAGGUGCGAAAGCGUGGGGAGCAAACAGGAUUAGAUACCCGAGUAGUC